rnacentral:misc_RNA from 1 species
UCCAUUGCCAUGGUAUAAAACCCAGUUGUCCCGUUGUAGUAUUGAUCAUGAUGAUAUGACCUAUCCUGUAUCCUAAAAUUCUGUUUGUCAUUAUGUCCACCAUUAGAUGAGACUGGAUAUCUAGGCCUAGUUAUUAUCCCCUGGUGAUUGUAAUGUUGUCCGUAAUAACCGCUUGUGUCCUCACCAUAAUACUUCCCAGAUCCAGAAGGUC